rnacentral:rRNA from 1 species
AUGGAUAGUAACAGGGCUCCUGGGCCUGACAAUAUUCCUGUAGAAUUUGACAAAAGCUGCUGGUAAUUUGUGAAAACUGAUAUUAUGCGGAUUUUUGAUGCCUUUCAUAAGGGAACGUUUGACGUGGCCUGCUUGAAUUAUGGAAUUAUCACUCUAAUCCCUAAGCUCGGGGCUAAGAAAAUACAGCAAUUUCGCCCUAUAUGCCUCCUACGCUGCCCUUAUAAAUUACUUACGAAAGUUCUGGAUAACCGGUUUGCUAUAUAUGCUGACAAGCUUAUUAGUCGGUAACAAAAUGUGUUUAUUAAAGGGAGGAGAAUUAUGGAUGGCAUCCUAACUCUUCAUGAGGUCUUGCAUCAUACUCAUAUUAAAAAAAGAUUGGGGUGGUUUUGA